rnacentral:rRNA from 1 species
ACCUGGUUGANCCUGCCAGUAGCAUAUGCUUGUCUCAAAGAUUAAGCCAUGCAUGUCUAAGUAUAAAUAGUAUACAGUGAAACUGCGAAUGGCUCAUCAAAACAGUUAUAGUUUAUUUGAUAAUGGAAGCCUACAUGGAUAACCGUAGUAAUUCUAGAGCUAAUACAUGCGUAAAGACCUGACUGAAUUGAAAGGUUGUAUUUAUUAGAUACGAAGCCAAUAUUCCUUCGGGAUUAUUGUGGUGAGUCAUAGUAACUGAUCGAAUCUCUUUAUUGGAGAUAAAUCAUUCAAGUUUCUGCUCUAUCAGCUUUCGAUGGUAGUGUAUUGGACUACCAUGGCAGUCACGGGUAACGGAGAAUUAGGGUUCGAUUCCGGAGAGGGAGCCUGAGAAACGGCUACCACAUCUAAGGAAGGCAGCAGGCGCGUAAAUUACCCAAUCCUGACUCAGGGAGGUAGUGACAAGAAAUAACAACCCGGGGGAUUCACAUCCUUACGGGAUUGCAAUGAGAACAAUUUAAAUCACUUAACGAGGAUCAAUUGGAGGGCAAGUCUGGUGCCAGCAGCCGCGGUAAUUCCAGCUCCAAUAGUGUAUAUUAAAGUUGUUGCAGUUAAAAAGCUCGUAGUUGAACUUCUGGCAGUGUGCAGUUUUGGCUGAUGUCAGGCUGCACUGCUGCCAUCCGUCUGCAAA